rnacentral:rRNA from 1 species
AUUGAACGCUGGCGGCAUGCUUUACACAUGCAAGUCGAACGGUAACAGGGUGCUUGCACCGCUGACGAGUGGCGAACGGGUGAGUAAUGCGUCGGAACGUGCCGAGUAGCGGGGGAUAACGCAGCGAAAGCUGUGCUAAUACCGCAUACGAACUGAGGUUGAAAGUGGGGGACCUUCGGGCCUCACGCUAUUCGAUCGGCCGACGUCUGAUUAGCUAGUUGGUAGGGGAAAGGCCUACCAAGGCGACGAUCAGUAGCGGGUCUGAGAGGAUGAGCCGCCACACUGGGACGGAGACACGGCCCUGACUCCUACGGGAGGCAGCAGUGGGGAAUUUUGGACAAUGGGGGAAACCCUGAUCCAGCCAUGCCGCGUGUGUGAAGAAGGCCUUUUGGUUGUAAAGCACUUUAAGCGAGGAGGAGGCUACUUGGAUUAAUACUCUAGGAUAGUGGACGUUACUCGCAGAAUAAGCACCGGCUAACUCUGUGCCAGCAGCCGCAGUAAAAC